rnacentral:rRNA from 1 species
UAAGGAAUAUUGCUCAAUGGGAGAAAUCCUGAAGCAGCAACGCCGCGUGGAGGAUGAAGGGUUUUUAACUUGUAAACUCCUGUAAAGAAGGAAAAAAUUCCCAUUAGAUGGGAAAUGAUGGUACUUCUGGAGUAAGCCCCGGCUAACUACGUGCCAGCAGCCGCGGUAAUACGUAGGGGGCAAGCGUUGUCCGGAUUUACUGGGUGUAAAGGGUGCUCAGGCGGAUUUGUAAGUCAGAGGUGAAAUCUCACAGCUUAACUGUGAAACUGCCUUUGAUACUGCAAGCCUAGAGUAUGGAAGAGAGUGAUGGAAUAUCUGGUGUAGCAGUGAAAUGCGUAGAUAUCAGAUAGAACACCAAUGGCGAAGGCAGUCACUUGGUCCAUAACUGACGCUAAAGCACGAAAGCGUGGGUAGCAAACAGGAUUAGAUACCCUGGUAGUCCACGCCCUAAACGAUGAAUACUAGAUGUUGGCUUCGCAUGAAGUCAGUAUCUGAGCUAACGCAUUAAGUAUUCCACCUGGGAAGUACGAUCGCAAGGUUGAAACUCAAAUUAAUUGACGGGGGUCAUAGCUGUUUCCUG